UGAAGAGCUCAGUUGGUAGAGUACCAGAGUCUACCAUUAAUAGACUCUACCAUUAUUAUUAUUAUUAUUAUUAUUAUUAUACCCCGCCCAUCUGGCUGGUUUUCUCCUCUUAAUCUCAGGGUCGUGGGUUCGAGCCCCAAUUUGGGCAA